rnacentral:rRNA from 1 species
AUGGAAUUAAGAUUUCCCAGGUUUAGCCAAGGCUUAGCUCAGGACCCCACUACUCGUCGUAUUUGGUUUGGUAUUGCUACCGCACAUGAUUUCGAAAGUCAUGAUGAUAUUACUGAAGAACGUCUUUAUCAGAACAUUUUUGCUUCUCACUUUGGGCAAUUAGCAAUAAUCUUUCUAUGGACGUCCGGAAAUCUGUUUCAUGUAGCUUGGCAAGGAAAUUUUGAAUCAUGGAUACAGGAUCCUUUACACGUAAGACCUAUUGCUCAUGCGAUUUGGGAUCCUCAUUUUGGUCAACCCGCUGUGGAAGCCUUUACUCGAGGAGGUGCUGCUGGUCCAGUGAAUAUUUCUUAUUCUGGAGUUUAUCAGUGGUGGUAUACAAUAGGAUUACGCACCAAUGAGGAUCUUUAUACUGGAGCUCUUUUUCUAUUAUUUCUUUCUACGCUGUCCUUAAUAGCGGGUUGGUUACAUCUAAAACCCAAAUGGAAACCAAGCCUUUCGUGGUUCAAAAACGCGGAAUCUCGUCUCAAUCAUCAUUUGUCAGGACUUUUCGGGGUAAGUUCUUUGGCUUGGACAGGACAUUUAGUUCAUGUUGCUAUUUCCGCAUCCAGGGGGGAGUACGUUCGAUGGAAUAAUUUCUUAGAUGUAUUACCCUAUCCCCAGGGGUUGGGACCCCUUUUGACGAGUCAAUGGAAUCUUUAUGCCCAAAACCCUGAUUCGAGUAAUCAUUUAUUUGGUACCGCUCAAGGAGCCGGAACUGCCAUUCUAACUCUUCUUGGGGGAUUCCAUCCACAAACACAAAGUUUGUGGCUGACCGAUAUGGCUCACCAUCAUUUAGCUAUUGCAUUUAUUUUUCUCAUUGCCGGUCACAUGUAUCGAACUAUCUUCGGAAUUGGGCACAGUAUUAAAGAUCUUUUAGAAGCGCAUACUCCUCCGGGGGGUCGAUUAGGGCGUGGGCAUAAGGGCCUUUAUGACACAAUCAACAAUUCGAUUCAUUUUCAGUUAGGUCUUGCUCUAGCUUCUUUAGGGGUUAUUACUUCCUUAGUAGCUCAACAUAUGUACUCUUUACCUCCUUAUGCAUUCAUAGCACAAGACUUUACUACUCAAGCUGCUUUAUAUACUCAUCACCAAUAUAUUGCAGGGUUCAUCAUGACAGGGGCUUUUGCUCAUGGAGCUAUUUUUUUCAUUAGGGAUUACAAUCCGGAACAGAAUGAGGAUAAGGCAUUGGCAAGAAUGUUAGACCAUAAAGAAGCUAUCAUAUCUCAUUUAAGUUGGGCUAGCCUCUUUCUAGGAUUCCAUACCUUGGGCCUUUAUGUUCAUAACGACGUCAUGCUUGCUUUUGGUACUCCAGAAAAACAAAUCUUGAUCGAACCUAUAUUUGCCCAAUGGAUACAACCUGCUCAUGGCAAGACGACAUAUGGGUUUGAUAUACUCUUAUCUUCAACGAAUGGCCCCGCUUUCAAUGCGGGUCGAAGCCUAUGGUUGCCCGGAUGGUUGAAUGCUGUUAAUGAGAAUAGUAAUUCGCUUUUCUUAACAAUAGGACCUGGGGAUUUCUUGGUUCAUCAUGCUAUUGCUCUAGGUUUGCAUACAACUACAUUGAUUUUAGUAAAGGGCGCUUUAGAUGCACGCGGUUCCAAAUUAAUGCCGGAUAAAAAGGAUUUUGGAUAUAGUUUUCCUUGUGACGGCCCAGGGCGCGGCGGUACUUGUGAUAUUUCUGCUUGGGACGCAUUUUAUUUGGUAGUUUUCUGGAUGUUAAAUACCAUUGGGUGGGUUACUUUUUAUUGGCAUUGGAAACAUAUCACAUUAUGGCAGGGCAACGUUUCACAAUUUAAUGAAUCCUCCACUUAUUUGAUGGGAUGGUUAAGAGAUUACCUAUGGUUAAACUCUUCACAACUUAUCAAUGGAUAUAAUCCUUUUGGGAUGAAUAGUUUAUCGGUAUGGGCGUGGAUGUUCUUAUUUGGACAUCUUGUUUGGGCUACUGGAUUUAUGUUCUUAAUUUCCUGGCGGGGGUAUUGGCAGGAAUUAAUUGAGACUUUAGCAUGGGCUCAUGAACGCACACCUUUAGCUAAUUUAAUUCGCUGGAGAGAUAAGCCCGUGGCUCUUUCCAUUGUGCAAGCAAGAUUGGUUGGAUUAGCUCACUUUUCCGUGGGUUAUAUAUUCACUUAUGCAGUUUUCUUGAUUGCCUCAACAUCAGGCAAGUUUGGUUAA